rnacentral:rRNA from 1 species
AACGAACGCUGGCGGCAGGCCUAACACAUGCAAGUCGAGCGCGCCCUUCGGGGUGAGCGGCGGACGGGUGAGUAACGCGUGGGAAUAUGCCCUUCUCUACGGAAUAGUCCUGGGAAACUGGGGGUAAUACCGUAUACGCCCUACGGGGGAAAGAUUUAUCGGGGAAGGAUUAGCCCGCGUUGGAUUAGCUAGUUGGUGAGGUAAUGGCUCACCAAGGCGACGAUCCAUAGCUGGUUUGAGAGGAUGAUCAGCCACACUGGGACUGAGACACGGCCCAGACUCCUACGGGAGGCAGCAGUGGGGAAUCUUAGACAAUGGGGGAAACCCUGAUCUAGCCAUGCCGCGUGAGUGAUGAAGGCCUUAGGGUUGUAAAGCUCUUUCAGCUGGGAAGAUAAUGACGGUACCAGCAGAAGAAGCCCCGGCUAACUCCGUGCCAGCCGCCGCGGUAAUAC